rnacentral:rRNA from 1 species
GACGAACGCUGGCGGCGUGCUUAACACAUGCAAGUCGAACGGAAAGGCCCUGCUUUUGUGGGGUGCUCGAGUGGCGAACGGGUGAGUAACACGUGAGUAACCUGCCCUUGACUUUGGGAUAACUUCAGGAAACUGGGGCUAAUACCGGAUAGGAGCUCCUGCUGCAUGGUGGGGGUUGGAAAGUUUCGGCGGUUGGGGAUGGACUCGCGGCUUAUCAGCUUGUUGGUGGGGUAGUGGCUUACCAAGGCUUUGACGGGUAGCCGGCCUGAGAGGGUGACCGGCCACAUUGGGACUGAGAUACGGCCCAGACUCCUACGGGAGGCAGCAGUGGGGAAUAUUGCACAAUGGGCGGAAGCCUGAUGCAGCAACGCCGCGUGCGGGAUGACGGCCUUCGGGUUGUAAACCGCUUUCGCCUGUGACGAAGCGUGAGUGACGGUAAUGGGUAAAGAAGCACCGGCUAACUACGUGCCAGCAGCCGCGGUGAUACGUAGGGUGCGAGCGUUGUCCGGAUUUAUUGGGCGUAAAGGGCUCGUAGGUGGUUGAUCGCGUCGGAAGUGUAAUCUUGGGGCUUAACCCUGAGCGUGCUUUCGAUACGGGUUGACUUGAGGAAGGUAGGGGAGAAUGGAAUUCCUGGUGGAGCGGUGGAAUGCGCAGAUAUCAGGAGGAACACCAGUGGCGAAGGCGGUUCUCUGGGCCUUUCCUGACGCUGAGGAGCGAAAGCGUGGGGAGCGAACAGGCUUAGAUACCCUGGUAGUCCACGCUGUAAACGGUGGGUACUAGGUGUGGGGUCCAUUCCACGGGUUCCGUGCCGUAGCUAACGCUUUAAGUACCCCGCCUGGGGAGUACGGCCGCAAGGCUAAAACUCAAAGGAAUCGACGGGGCCCCGCACAAGCGGCGGAGCAUGCGGAUUAAUUCGAUGCAACGCGUAGAACCUUACCUGGGUUUGACAUGGAUCGGGAGUGCUCAGAGAUGGGUGUGCCUCUUUUGGGGUCGGUUCACAGGUGGUGCAUGGCUGUCGCCAGCUCGUGUCGUGAGAUGUUGGGUUAAGUCCCGCAACGAGCGCAACCCUUGUUCACUGUUGCCAGCACGUUAUGGUGGGGACUCAGUGGAGACCGCCGGGGUCAACUCGGAGGAAGGUGGGGAUGACGUCAAGUCAUCAUGCCCCUUAUGUCCAGGGCUUCACGCAUGCUACAAUGGCUGGUACAGAGAGUGGCGAGCCUGUGAGGGUGAGCGAAUCUCGGAAAGCCGGUCUCAGUUCGGAUUGGGGUCUGCAACUCGACCUCAUGAAGUCGGAGUCGCUAGUAAUCGCAGAUCAGCAACGCUGCGGUGAAUACGUUCCCGGG